GAUGAACGCUGGCGGCGUGCUUAACACAUGCAAGUCGAACGAUGAAGCCCAGCUUGCUGGGUGGAUUAGUGGCGAACGGGUGAGUAACACGUGAGUAACCUGCCCUUGACUCUGGGAUAAGCCUGGGAAACUGGGUCUAAUACUGGAUAUGACUUCUCAUCGCAUGGUGGGGGGUGGAAAGAUUUAUUGGUCUUGGAUGGACUCGCGGCCUAUCAGCUUGUUAGUGAGGUAAUGGCUCACCAAGGCGACGACGGGUAGCCGGCCUGAGAGGGUGACCGGCCACACUGGGACUGAGACACGGCCCAGACUCCUACGGGAGGCAGCAGUGGGGAAUAUUGCACAAUGGGCGCAAGCCUGAUGCAGCGACGCCGCGUGAGGGAUGACGGCCUUCGGGUUGUAAACCUCUUUCAGUAGGGAAGAAGCGAGAGUGACGGUACCUGCAGAAGAAGCGCCGGCUAACUACGUG
rnacentral:rRNA from 1 species